AAUGAACGUUGGCGGCGUGGAUUAGGCAUGCAAGUCGAGCGUACCCAGCAAUGGGGAAGCGGCAAACGGGGUAGUAAGGCGUCGGUACGUGCCUCCUGGACGGGGACAGCCACGGGAAACUGUGGGUAAUACCCGAUGACAUCGCGAGAUCAAAGGUGUGAUUCCGCCGGGAGAGCGGCUGACGUGGUAUUAGGUAGUUGGUAAGGUAAUGGCUUACCAAGCCUGGGAUGCCUAGGGGGUGUGAGAGCAUGGCCCCCACCAUUGGGACUGAGACACUGCCCAGACACCUACGGGUGGCUGCAGUCGAGGAUCUUCGGCAAUGGGCGCAAGCCUGACCGAGCGACGCCGCGUGCGGGAUGAAGGCCCUCGGGUUGUAAACCGCUGUCAGGGGGGAUGAAGUCAUGGUGGGUUCUCCCAUCAUGUUGACAGAGCCCCAGAGGAAGCGCGGGCUAAGUUCGUGCCAGCAGCCGCCGUAACAC
rnacentral:rRNA from 1 species